GUUGUUGGGUAGGGGAGCGUUCUGUAAGCCGUUGAAGGUGACCUGUGAGGGUUGCUGGAGGUAUCAGAAGUGCGAAUGCUGACAUAAGUAACGAUAAUGCGGGUGAAAAACCCGCACGCCGGAAGACCAAGGGUUCCUGUCCAACGUUAAUCGGGGCAGGGUGAGUCGACCCCUAAGGCGAGGCUGAAAAGCGUAGUCGAUGGGAAACAGGUUAAUAUUCCUGUACUUGGUGUUACUGCGAAGGGGGGACGGAGAAGGCUAGGCUAGCCGGGCGACGGUUGUCCCGGUUUAAGCAUGUAGGCGGAGUGACUUGGUAAAUCCGGUUGCUUAUCAACGCUGAGGUGUGAUGACGAGCCACUACGGUGGUGAAGUAGUUGAUGCCAAGCUUCCAGGAAAAGCCUCUAAGCAUCAGGUAACAUUAAAUCGUACCCCAAACCGACACAGGUGGUCAGGUAGAGAAUACUCAGGCGCUUGAGAGAACUCGGGUGAAGGAACUAGGCAAAAUGGUGCCGUAACUUCGGGAGAAGGCACGCUGGCAUUAGGUAAAG
rnacentral:rRNA from 1 species